AUGUACUACGUACAAUUUUUGGAUUUUUGGGAAUUUAAGCAGCCAGUGAAAUGAUUUAACUCAUUUAAGCAUAUUUCAAUCGGGGAACCAUUCGUGGAACAAGAUUGAGCAUAUAUUUCUGAAAGGGAAAUAUCAAAAGAUAAUGUCUUUUGGAUUGUCUAUGGUUAGAGUCAGACAGAAAAUACGUGCUGAGAGAUAUUGCAACUCGAAGGAAAGCCUUCGGAUUUCGCGAUGAGAAAGCUAGCUGGAGGGAAAAUAAUCAGGAGAUGAUGAUGAUGAACUUUAUUUAACCACGCUAAGCUCGUGUCUUCAGUUUGCAAGAUGCCUUGGCUUUUAUUCUGAUUGUGCCAUAGCUGACAUUUGUUCUUUUCAAGCUGUUUGAGAUCAAAAGGUCAAGACAAAUAAUUUUGUCACCAAUAACAUGUGAUUAAGCAAUAUGAUCUGAUCCAAACACACAGGGA